AUUGAACGCUGGCGGCAUGCUUUACACAUGCAAGUCGAACGGUAACAGGCCGCAAGGUGCUGACGAGUGGCGAACGGGUGAGUAAUGCAUCCGAACGUGUCCAGUCGUGGGGGGUAACUACUCGCAAGAGUAGCUAAUACCGCAUACGAUCUAAGGAUGAAACCGGGGUACCGUAAGGCCUCGCGCGAAUGGUGCGGCCGAUGUCAGAUUAGAUAGUUUGUGGGGUAAAGGCUCGCCAAGCCAACGAUCUCUAGCUGGUCUGAGAGGACGAGCAGCCACACUGGUACUGAGACCCGGCCCAGACUCCUACGAGAGGCAGCAGUAGGGAAUUUUGGACAAUGGGCGAAAGCCUGAUCCAGCAAUGCCGCGUGCAGGAAGAAGGCCUUCGGAUUGUAAAAUUCUUUUGUACGGAAAGAAACGGCUCUGGAUAAUACCCGCGGAUAAUGACGGUACCGUAAGAAAAAGCACCGGCUAACUACGUG
rnacentral:rRNA from 1 species